AAAAAAAACCGCCUUGAAUAGCCGACAGCAUUGAUAAGCUUACAUAAGAAACAUAGAACGGUGUAGCUGGGGUUUCGAAGGUUCCCAAAUCGAUCCAGAUGGAAAGAAAAGUUAGCGAAGAAGCGAUGGAGAGCAUCACGGAGAGGCUGUCGGCUCUCGAUAAUCUCUAUUUCCCACGCGCCCUUCAAUCUUCGGCCUCCGAUCCCUCCAAUCGCAAAUCCAUCCUCCACGACCUCCUUUCCCGCGACGUCCCUGUCUUCUUAGAAAGAUACGGGUCUCAGCUUACUUGUGAUGAGCUCCAUGAAUUUGAUGCACUUAACGAUGAUUAUGAGGUUAAUUGGCACUUAAAGCAUCUUAGAAGCAAGAUGAGCCCGACUUUAGAAGAAUUGAAAUUGAGGUCCGUGACUGUCAAGAAUCGGAGGCGGGCUUACUUGAAUAAAUUGGUGUGUGAUGGGCAUUACUUUUCGGAGGAUGCGAUGAGGGAAAGGGAGCCUUAUUUGCAUCAUGAAUAUUUAGGGAGGUUUCAGGAUUUAAGUGGGAGGAGCAUGGCCAAGCGUGGGGAACGCUGGUCUGAGACUUUGAUGAGGAGGUGUGAGGAAGCUAGGUUGGUUGCUAAGAUUAGGGAGCAGCAGCAGAGGCUUGGUGUCGCUCAAAAAGAUUGGGUUGGUAAUGAGAUCCAUCCUCAACAACAACAAGAAGAGGAGGAGGAGGAGGAGGAGGAGGAGGAGGAAGAGGAGGAGGAAGAUGAGGAUGAAAUGAAAAUGGAAAAUGGAGGCAACCAUGGAAAGGAUAUGCUUUUGGACCAUCUUGGAGAUGACAUUGUUGCUGCUUCUGCAACUAUGGAGCAACACGAAGAAGCACCUUCUGCAGAAGAAAUGCAAGAAAGGAUGGAUCAAUUCACCUACAUCAUGCAGCAGAAGUUUCUCUCUGGUGAAGAUUAUGAGUAUUUAGAUUACUCUAAAAUAGAUGACGAUGAGACCUUGGAUGAUCACUGGCUUAGGGAAGCUAACCAUGAUGCAGAGGAGAAGUAUUUUGCUGAAGAUUAAUAACGGAAAAUUACAUCCAUUCAUCUCCCAACAUUUGCAGAUAUCUCUUCGUUAUAGCAGUGGACCGGUAUUUGGAAACAUAGGCUGAAAACUUAAGCUGGUGAGGUGUCCCAUAUGAUCCAACACAAUAUAUAAUAGUACUAGAUACAGUUGAUGUCGGUACGAAUGGAAUUGAAUUAAAUUGGAGUUAAGACAUAUAUGAAACCAGGUGCAGAAUGAAGAAUCUCAAGAAUCAAUACACAGUAUGUAGCUGGCUUGCUAGGGUUGGCCUACUUGCCCAAUUAGCUGGAUUGGCACAGCUGGUCUCCAAUAUUUACUCUUCUUCACUUCAGAUUCUUUUGUUCUUCCUUUGCCUCUUUUGGACCAUUGAUGGUUACUUUCACACAUCAAGAUGAAAAUAGUCAAAAAAAAAAAAAAAGAAAUGCAAAAUCUUUUCAAUGUUAUUUUUUAUAUAUAUUACAAAUUGGGAAAGGGUGAGAGAUGACACUACUUAAAUUUGAACUUUGAUAUUUGAGUGUAGUUUUAAGGAAGAGUUCAACUAUUGUUUCUCGUUGUGGGCCA